rnacentral:lncRNA from 10 species
GAAAUCUAAUGAUGAAUUUCCCAGAAUGUAUCCCUGUUGUUAAGGGAUACAUUGUUAAGCGGUGUGUGACUAUAUGUAUAUAUAUAUAUAUAUAUAUAUGCACUAUAUAGAGAGACACACUAUUUUGUGUGUGUCUCUGUGAGUGUGUGUGUGUGUGUGUGUUUAUUCCUUCUCUCCAGUUCAGCCUUAGGAAAAGGGAAAGCUUGUGAACGUGUCCUCGGGAACUUGGUUUGCUGAAUUAACAGGUGAAGGUAACAUCUCAAGAGCUCAGUAGACCCUUCUGCCCAAAUGCAGUUGGCAGUCCUUGGUCAGGCUUCACCUGAGUGGAGGCCAGGGAUUAGAGCUACCAAGCAGAUUGCAGGUGGGAGGUUGUGGUUGACUUUUUGGAAGUCAUUAGUACAAAUGCUUUUAGUGCCUUUAGCCCCUGGGGUUUUACAAGGUCACCGCGUGAUUGGGAUAAGCACGGUAAACUCUACGACCAGAAGGUGUUUCCAUGCCACGUGAUUGGGAUAAGCACGGUAAACUCUAAGACCAGAAGGUGUUUCCAUGCCACGUGAUUGGGAUAAGCACGGUAAACUCUAAGACCAGAAGGUGUUUCCAUGCCACGUGAUUGGGAUAAGCACGGUAAACUCUAAGACCAGAAGGUGUUUCCAUGCCACGUGAUUGGGAUAAGCACGGUAAACUCUAAGACCAGAAGGUGUUUCCAUGCCACGUGAUUGGGAUAAGCACGGUAAACUCUACAACCAGAAGGUGUUUCCAUGCCACGUGAUUGGGAUAAGCACGGUAAACUCUAAGACCAGAAGGUGUUUCCAUGCCACGUGAUUGGGAUAAGCACGGUAAACUCUACAACCAGAAGGUGUUUCCAUGUCACUGGGGCUGUGGAGUGUGGCCCUAGCACUGUCACUAAAAAUCCG